ACCUGGUUGGCUCAAUUGGUAGAGCAUGUGACUCUUGAUCUCAAGGUUGUCAGUUCUAACCUCACACUGAGUG
rnacentral:tRNA from 1 species